AUCUCCUUCCUUCAAUCUUCAAUGCUCUAAUUCUCUUUUAUAUCUUCCUCUGAAAAGGGUUCUACUUUUUUCCCUCUCAAAUCCCACAAAGUUGGUUUUUUUACUGCGUUUUCUACCUUUGGUUUUCAUACAAAAUUGUAUGAAUUACAUCUGAUUUGUGUUUUCAGUAUUGAUAGACCCGCAUAGCCUUAGCUCAUAGGUUUUGAAAGGGAAAAACAUGUGAUACUACCUUCAUAUAAAUUCUGGGUUUUUAUCUGUUUCAAUGUAUCUGUAGUUAUAUGCUCUAUGUUGUAGUUUCUUGCAUUGUUGCUAUGAGUAAUCAGUAACUUUGAUAAGACUAGUAUGGGUUUUUGUAAUUAAAGCAUAUGGUUUAUUGUGGGGUCUUAUUGUUGUUUUUGUGA